rnacentral:tRNA from 1 species
UCGGAUAUGGUGUAGUGGCUAACAUUAUUGACUCUCACGCGAUAGCCCGGGGUUCAAUUCCCCGUAUCCAAA